UUCUCAAUCAUUAUAUAGAUAUUGUGUGCAAUGUUGUCAAUCGAAUACCCUUCCCCUUUCUCUCAGAUCUUCUUUGUUUGUGUAUUUUUAACCUACAUCUGUAUCACUGCUCACAUAUUGAAUGAAAACCCUCACCCCCAGUACGUGAUCUGCUUCCUUUAUUUUUUCCCCUAAAUCUCCUGAUAUGUUCUUAUUUAUAAUGUAAAGAUCAAUGAUUUGUGUGCUCUCAUUCCAAAACAAGUGCAAAUCGUUUCAUUAUUGUGUUAUACCUAUUCCCUCAAAAUGUAUAUCUGGAAAAAUUUCUUCUAUACAAUCUGCUUCAUGUAUUUCUUUCUUCACAUCAAAGGAGUUAUUGUCAUGGAAGAACAAACAUUCAAAAGUAUUUGUAGCACGUCGUUCGAGUAUCUAAGAGAUCUAUUUUGGUUGAAGGAAAGAUCAACGACUAUUAUCAUUAAUUGGUACUUCAUUUUUUAAG